UGGUCGAUCCCGGUCGGUGGACAGACGGGAGUGGACAAUUUUGGGUCGACCCAGGUCCGCCAUCCCGACUGCAACUGGCGAACGGCAGCUGGCCAUUUUGGCCGUAGGUGGACUGACGGAGAGUGGACAAUUUUGGGUCGAAGUUGGUUGACCCGGGUCCGCAAUCCGGACUGCAACUGACCGAACAGCAAGUGGCGAGAACAGCCCUCUUCGCGCGCCACUGCCAAAUUUGGCCUUAGGUGGUCGAUCUCGAUCGGUGGACAGGCGGGAGUGGACAAUUUUGGGUCGAAUUUGGUCGACCCAGGUCCGCCAUCCCAACUCGACUGGCCGAACGGCAGCUGGCCAUUUUGGCCGUAGGUGGUCGAUCCCGGUCGGUGGACAGACGGAGAGUGGACAAUUUUGGGUCGAAGUUGGUUGACCCAGGUCCACAAUCCGGACUGCAGCUGGCCGAACAGCAAGUGGCGAGAACAGCCCUCUUCGCGCGCCUGAAAACUUCUGUCAACUCCGGUCUCCGGUCAACUCCGGUUACAGAUGGAAGGAUUCGAGGAAAACUUCUGGAAGAAGGCGGAAGCACAAUUGAAGUGCCC